rnacentral:pre_miRNA from 1 species
GAUUUCAACUUAAAAAGUCAUCAAUAACCAAGUUGUAUAGCUCAUCAAUAUCUAUAAGUUUUAUUUUGGUCAUUUAUUCAUCCGACACAAUAAUAGUAGCAUUGUUCACAAAAUUAACAUAUCUUUCUUAUAGUUUAUAAACUAUAUAAGAGAUAUGUACAUUUUGUGAACAAUGUCACAAACCGCUUUCUCGGAUAAAGAAAUGACCCAAAUAAAAAUUAUAGAUCUUGAUGACUUAUACAACUUUGAUGUUGAUGACCUUUUCAGUUGAAAUC